GCGACAUCAUCAAAUCUCGUCUCAACAAAGGGGCCAUACGACACAGAAAUAAGAGCAUUCAUGGUAUGAACUAAUCUCCUUAAUCACUGUAUCCACCUCACCCGAAUGGAACAAGGAGAAGCCUGCUGCCUUUUCUUUUUGGUACAUCAAUUUUUGUAAAUCAUGCUGCUCGAUUCAUGGCCCCCUCCUAGCAAGAAUUCAGAGAUAGGGCCAAAGUGACAAUCAGAUUCUUUCCAUGAUGCUAGAAAGAGACAAUAAAAUAACAAAGAGAAUAUUGAUGGUUUUCUGGCUAUCCUGAAUUUGUCUGGCAACAACUUCUCUCCCCAACUCAGUAGCGCAUGAUCGGGAGACGACGGUGCUUCUGUUUGCAGUAACAAGCAUUGAUGAGGAUAGCUCUCUACUCUUCCC